CCUACGGGAGGCAGCAGUAGGGGAUCUUGCGCAAUGGGGGAAACCCUGACGCAGCAACGCCGCGUGGGCGAUGGAGCGCUUCGGCGCGUAAAGAUCUGUCGGUGGGGACGAAACCUGACGGUACUGACCGAGGAAGCACCGGCUAACUCCGUGCCAGCAGCCGCGGUAAUACGGGGGGGGCAAGCGUUGUCCGGUAUCAUUGGGGGUAAGGGGUUCGAGGGGGGCAAGGUAAGUCUGGUGGUAAAGGCGGAGGCCCAACUCCCGGAGGGCCCUGGAUACUGGAGGGCUGGAUUGCGGUAGGGGUAGAGGGAAUUCCUGGUGUAGCGGUGAAAUGCGUAGAUAUUAGGAGGAACAUCGGUGGCGUAGGCGCUUUGCUGGGCCGUAAUUGACACUGAGGAACGAAGGCCGGGGUAGCAAAUGGGAUUAGAUACCCUAGUAGUC
rnacentral:rRNA from 1 species